rnacentral:rRNA from 1 species
UACGGAGGGGCUAGCGUUGUUCGGAAUUAUUGGGCGUAAAGGGCGCGUAGGCGGCCAACUAAGUCAGACGUGAAAUCCCUCGGCUCAACCGGGGAACUGCGUCUGAUACUGGAUGGCUUGAAUUCGGGAGAGGGAUGCGGAAUUCCAGGUGUAGCGGUGAAAUGCGUAGAUAUCUGGAGGAACACCGGUGGCGAAGGCGGCAUCCUGGACCGAGAUUGACGCUGAUGCGCGAAAGCCAGGGGAGCAACGGGG